rnacentral:lncRNA from 1 species
UCUUGUAAGUGGAGCAGCAUAUGCACAUCUCAUCUUCAUGAGAGAGGCAGUGUGUACACUUCUCAUAGCACGAGAGGCAACAUUUGCCUGGCUCAUCUUGUGAGUAGAACAGUAUGUGCAUAUCUCAUCUUCAUGCGAGAGACAAAGUGUGCCCAUAGGUAGUGUGUGCACUUCUCAUUGAGUAGAGUAGCUUGUGCUUAGCUCAUCUUAUGAGUGAACCAGUAUGUGC